CGGCGGGUGAGAGAGAGGAAGAUCUGUCGGAGGUUGAAGACGACCAGUGUCCAUUGGAUCUUGAUCGAACGGCUGAUACAGGAGAAGGAGGAUCGACUGAACCGUUUUCUGUUUUUCAGGCGAUUGACAUGUAGCCUGUCCCGAUAAUUAUUUAAGUUGUUGGAACAGAAUCCUUUUUUAUAGGAAUACCGAACGUCACCCUUGAAGGUAAUCUCAUCGAUCGAUUUAUUCUCGCGCAUGCCUCGCUCAGACGGCGGCUGACGUAUUUCUUGUAGUUUCGUCGCCGUCGACGGCGGCUCGCUGCAUGCAUCGGCAUGGAACAAGACGACGCCCCCGUUUUUGCCCAGCAGGUCUCCGACGUCGAGCGCUCUCCACCGGACACUCCCCCAGUCAGAAUCAGCCACAACUCACACGGGGUAUGCUGCUUAUCAUCGAUCUUAGAUGUGUGUAACUAGAUGCAUGUCCAUAUUCUAUCGGUCGACUG
rnacentral:lncRNA from 1 species